GCCUCGAACCAGCUCGUCCCACCUCCUCCUCUUCCUCUCUCGAUCUCCUCUGCCUCGCACGCCGCCACCGCUCGCCCUCGCGCCGCCGCCUCCGUUCGCCCUCCUCUGCCUCGCACACCGCCACCGCUCGCCCUCGCGCCGCCGCCGUCUCCGUUGCCCAACCUGCUGGAUCCCCACCAUCCACUUCUCCGGCGUCGUCGCCUCGUCAUCGCGUGCACGCGGCAGGAGGAGCGAGGGAGACGUGGAGCCGCCGCUAGGAACGCCACCGUCGUCCUCGCGUGCACACGGCAGGAGGAGCGGGGGAGGCGUGGAGCCGCUGCUGGGAACGCCGGAUGCGAUUAUCUGCAGGUCGGUCAGCCCUGCCAGCCUCAUGUACCUAGCACGAGAUGAAAGAGGGAUUUAGAGAAGGGAGGGAGCAGGAGGAGAAGAGGAAGAAGAACCCUACCACCCCCAUGCCCGCCCAGUGCUUCGUGCGGCUCUGCACCCCAACCAUUCCACCUCCAUGCCCCUCCAAUUUCUCUAUCCCUUUUUUGCAGAAUAGGGAUUGAGAAUUGGUCAAUAUACUGAACGGAUACAUUCACUGGAAAGGAGGGGCUGCUGAUGUUGUGGGCUUGAUUGCCUUUUAAUUGUUGAUCCCAAAAUCCUGCCCCGACACGAGCCACCGCCGUUCGUCCGGAGAAGCGCGGGAAGAAGAAGAUGGAUGUGUUGAGACCUUGAUGGGAUGGAGAGACGUUUCCUUUCAAAAAUUACCGCUAGAAAUAGUAGAGAGAAAGCUCAAGCACGGAAACGAGCAGUUAAUUCUAUUUGCCAGGGUUCUGCUGCUGAUAUUAUCAAGGUGGCUAUGCUUAACAGUCAUUCUGUAAUUACCAAUGGGAGUAACACACUUGAUUCUAUGGAUGGGCUAACGCAGAACUUUUAACAAAUCAGAGGGCGUUGUCACCUUCUUUUGCAAGUAUUUUACGACAUGGUGCAUGAUGAAUUUGUGCUUGAAGUUGACCCGUCUAGGGUAGCAGAGGCUGUAAGGAAUCCCCGGGCCAUCCAGUGCGUGCCAUCAGUUUGACCCAGGAGCGGCGCGGCAGAGGCGUUGGGCAAGGAGCACUCGCCGGAGGCGCUUGAUGCGGCUCCUCCGUCUAUGUCCAUUGCAGGAGACGAUGAUGUCGUGUUGGGCUCGGACCUUGCUGACCGCCAUCUUGGCCUGCAAGAGGAUGCUCCCCUGCUCCGACUUGCUCAGCACAUGGUUAUUGAAAAUUCUGGUUUCCUGUAACUAUCAGGUGGUCUGAUGCAGGUUCAUGAGGUUAUUGUCAACAGAAGCAGUUCAUAGAUAGGGAUUAGAGGAAGCAACUUAAAAAUGGGGACAAUGUUGUUACUGUUUCUUUUCCUUAUAUUUGCGGGGAUGCCAGGGCUGACUGCCUUGUGCGUACCAUGGCGAGGAGUAGCAAUAUGCCAUAUUUGCUCCCUCUAGCGAGCACCACGGAGGAGGUGAGGGGCCAAUAGGGAGUAAAUAAAACAUUUGAUGAGUGCUGCAUGCCCGCGCACGUUGUCGGAGAGGUCAGAUCACUGUAGUUUUGUGGUACCACAAAAAUCGUUUUAUUUUCCUUAAUUGUAACUCUAAAUUAUGUCCAGAUCACCCAUGUCUAUUUUCCUUCAUGGAUAGUGUAUUCUCAUUUUUCAACUAGACAAAUUUUAUCCUUUGAAUUACUGCAAUACAUUAAGUUGGCACGAACAAUUCUAUUUAAAGAUAUACUAUCCGAGGCGUGAAAAAGAAGAUGGCGUAGGUUGAUGGUCUAGCUAUUUUAUAAUCCCUUUUAUUGAGAUCAGAUGAAGUUUAGUCUGGUCUUGCUCUGAAUUUCUCUGCAUUGUUUGGUAUCCAAAUUAGCGUUAGGUUUCAGAUAGCAGAGUAAUUGAUGAGCGGCACACAUGAUCAUAAUGAGCGGCACACAUGAGCACAUACGGUUCUUUGAGCAAACACACACACACACACACACACACACACACAAACACAGACAUACAUGAACAAAUGAGAAAUGAGUGAUUCUAACAUGAGAAGAUGAGGGAUGACAUAUGCCUACUCGUCAUGAAGCAUAUCAGCAUGUGGAUUAAUAAUAGAAGGGGAAGGAAACUUGCUUCUCUGCGUUUUUAUUAUAGUUUAAAAGGGCAAAUUGUCGACAUUCUAAAUGUUAGGAAAGGAACCUACAGAGUCCAUGUGUAAGUAUGUGAUU